CCUACGGGUGACAGCAGUGGGGAAUAUUGGGCAAUGGGCGCAAGCCUGACCCAGCAACGCCGCGUGAAGGAAGAAGGCUUUCGGGUUGUAAACUUCUUUUGUCAGGGAAGAGUAGAAGACGGUACCUGACGAAUAAGCUACGGCUAACUACGUGCCAGCAGCCGCGGUAAUACGUAGGUGGCAAGCGUUGUCCGGAUUUACUGGGUGUAAAGGGCGUGUAGCCGGGUUGACAAGUCAGAUGUGAAAUCCUGCGGCUUAACCGCAGAACUGCAUUUGAAACUGUUGAUCUUGAGUAUUGGAGAGGCAGAUGGAAUUCCAAGUGUAGCGGUGAAAUGCGUAGAUAUUAGGAGGAACACCAGUGGCGAAGGCGGUCUGCUGGACAGCAACUGACGGUGAGGCGCGAAAGCGUGGGGAGCAAACAGGAUUAGAUACCCCUGUAGUC
rnacentral:rRNA from 1 species